GUGACUGCGUACCUUUUGUAUAAUGGGUCAGCGACUUAUAUUUUGUAGCGAGGUUAACUGAAUAGGGGAGCCGAAGGGAAACCGAGUCUUAACUGGGCGAGUAGUUGCAAGGUAUAGACCCGAAACCCGGUGAUCUAGCCAUGGGCAGGUUGAAGGUUGGGUAACACUAACUGGAGGACCGAACCGACUAAUGUUGAAAAAUUAGCGGAUGACUUGUGGCUGGGGGUGAAAGGCCAAUCAAACCGGGAGAUAGCUGGUUCUCCCCGAAAUCUAUUUAGGUAGAGCCUUGAGGUGACACCUUUGGGGGUAGAGCACUGUUUCGGCUAGGGGGCCAUCCCGGCUUACCAACCCGAUGCAAACUACGAAUACCAAAGAGUGAUACUCAGGAGACACACGGCGGGUGCUAACGUCCGUCGUGGAGAGGGAAACAACCCAGACCGCCAGCUAAGGUCCCCAAGUCUAUAUUAAGUGGGAAACGAAGUGGGAAGGCUUAGACAGCUAGGAUGUUGGCUUAGAAGCAGCCAUCAUUUAAAGAAAGCGUAAUAGCUCACUAGUCGAGUCGGCCUGCGCGGAAGAUGUAACGGGGCUGAAAUAUAGCACCGAAGCUGCGGCAUCAGAAUUUAUUCUGUUGGGUAGGGGAGCGUUGUGUAAGCGGAAGAAGGUUCAUCGAGAGGUGGGCUGGACGUAUCACAAGUGCGAAUGCUGACAUAAGUAACGAUAAAACGGGUGAAAAACCCGUUCGCCGGAAGACCAAGGGUUCCUGUCCAACGUUAAUCGGGGCAGGGUGAGUCGGCUCCUAAGGCGAGGCUGAAAAGCGUAGUCGAUGGGAAACAGGUUAAUAUUCCUGUACUUGGUAAAGCUGCGAUGUGGGGACGGAGUAGGUUAGGUUAUCGCACUGUUGGAUAUGUGCGUUUAAGUUGGUAGGUGGGAAGUUUAGGCAAAUCCGGGCUUCCUUAACACAGAGAGAUGAUGACGAGGCUCUACGGAGCUGAAGUAACUGAUACCACACUUCCAGGAAAAGCCACUAAGCGAAAGGCUUUACUAAACCGUACUGAAAACCGACACAGGUGGUCAGGUAGAGAAUACUCAGGCGCUUGAGAGAACUCGGGUGAAGGAACUAGGCAAAAUAGCACCGUAACUUCGGGAGAAGGUGCGCCGGCGUAGAUUGUAAGGGCUAGCCCCUGAAGGUUGAACCGGUCGAAGAUACCAGCUGGCUGCAACUGUUUAUUAAAAACACAGCACUCUGCAAACACGAAAGUGGACGUAUAGGGUGUGAUGCCUGCCCGGUGCUGGAAGGUUAAUUGAUGGUGUAAUCGCAAGAGAAGCACCUGAUCGAAGCCCCAGUAAACGGCGGCCGUAACUAUAACGGUCCUAAGGUAGCGAAAUUCCUUGUCGGGUAAGUUCCGACCUGCACGAAUGGCAUAAUGAUGGCCAGGCUGUCUCCACCCGAGACUCAGUGAAAUUGAAAUCGCCGUGAAGAUGCGGUGUACCCGCGGCUAGACGGAAAGACCCCGUGAACCUUUACUAUAGCUUGACACUGAACAUUGAAUUUUGAUGUGUAGGAUAGGUGGGAGACUUAGAAGUAGUCACGCCAGUGAUUAUGGAGUCGACCUUGAAAUACCACCCUUUAACGUUUGAUGUUCUAACGAAGAUGACGAAACGUGGUCUCGGACAGUGUCUGGUGGGUAGUUUGACUGGGGCGGUCUCCUCCCAAAGCGUAACGGAGGAGCACGAAGGUUUGCUAAUCACGGUCGGACAUCGUGAGGUUAGUGCAAUGGUAUAAGCAAGCUUAACUGCGAGACAGACAAGUCGAGCAGGUACGAAAGUAGGUCAUAGUGAUCCGGUGGUUCUGAAUGGAAGGGCCAUCGCUCAACGGAUAAAAGGUACUCCGGGGAUAACAGGCUGAUACCGCCCAAGAGUUCAUAUCGACGGCGGUGUUUGGCACCUCGAUGUCGGCUCAUCACAUCCUGGGGCUGAAGUAGGUCCCAAGGGUAUGGCUGUUCGCCAUUUAAAGUGGUACGCGAGCUGGGUUUAGAACGUCGUGAGACAGUUCGGUCCCUAUCUGCCGUGGGCGUAGGAGAAUUGGUUGGGGCUGCUCCUAGUACGAGAGGACCGGAGUGGACGCACCACUGGUGUUCCGGUUGUGUCGCCAGACGCAUUGCCGGGUAGCUAAGUGCGGAAGAGAUAAGUGCUGAAAGCAUCUAAGCACGAAACUUGCCAAGAGAUGAGUUCUCCCAAUCAAAGAGAUUGUAAGGGUUGUUGUAGACUACGACGUAGAUAGGUCUGGUGUGUAAGUGUAGUGAUACAUUGAGCUAACAGAUACUAAUUGCCCGAGAGGCUUAACUAU
rnacentral:rRNA from 1 species